GCCCUCAGUUAAUUUCACCAUUAAUUUCACAAAGGAAGAGAUUCAAUUUGGAUUUAUCUGCAUCACUCACUGCACUGGCAGAUUUAUCAGGAAUUGCAAAUCUAGUGACCUCAAACAAAUAUACACGAGUACAGUGAGGAUCUUCAGUUUGACUUUUUUUUAUUUUAUGCAUUAUUACUCCAUUGUCAGAGAUUAGGAUAGAAUUUCAAAGUCCAAAAUACACACAAUACCAUGAGAACUAAUAUUAUGGUCCAUCAUAACCAUAGUUCAUAAGAUCAGUACCAAGAUCGACUAAAGACAGACAAAAAUCAGCACAGAUGAACCAGUAAAAUCACAUUGGUUAAGUUGAGAAUAGAUGAGAAAAUAAUUUAAAUUAAAAUUACCAAAUAAUAGAGAAAAAUUCAUUAAAAGCGAUUAU
rnacentral:lncRNA from 1 species